rnacentral:rRNA from 1 species
CCUACGGGUGGCAGCAGUGAGGAAUAUUGGUCAAUGGACGAGAGUCUGAACCAGCCAAGUAGCGUGAAGGAUGACUGCCCUAUGGGUUGUAAACUUCUUUUAUAUGGGAAUAAAACGUUCCACGUGUGGGAUUUUGUAUGUACUAUAUGAAUAAGGAUCGGCUAACUCCGUGCCAGCAGCCGCGGUAAUACGGAGGAUCCGAGCGUUAUCCGGAUUUAUUGGGUUUAAAGGGAGCGUAGGUGGAUUGUUAAGUCAGUUGUGAAAGUUUGCGGCUCAACCGUAAAAUUGCAAUUGAAAAUGGCAGUCUUGAGUACAGUAGAGGUAGGCGGAAUUCGUGGUGUAGCGGUGAAAUGCUUAGAUAUCACGAAGAACUCCGAUUGCGAAGGCAGUUCACUAGACUGCAACUGACACUGAGGCCCGAAAGUGUGGGUAUCAAACAGGAUUAGAUACCCGUGUAGUC